rnacentral:rRNA from 1 species
GUGGGGAAUUUUGGACAAUGGGCGAAAGCCUGAUCCAGCCAUGCCGCGUGAGUGAAGAAGGCCUUCGGGUUGUAAAGCUCUUUCGGCCGGAACGAAAUCGCUCGAGCCAACACCUUGAGCGGAUGACGGUACCGGAAUAAGAAGCACCGGCUAACUACGUGCCAGCAGCCGCGGUAAUACGUAGGGUGCAGGCGUUAAUCGGAAUUACUGGGCGUAAAGCGUGCGCAGGCGGCCUCUUAAGUCAGAUGUGAAAUCCCCGGGCUCAACUCGGGAACUGCGUUUGAAACUGGGAGGCUAGAGUACGGCAGAGGGGGGUGGAAUUCCACGUGUAGCAGUGAAAUGCGUAGAUAUGUGGAGGAACACCGAUGGCGAAGGCAGCCCCCUGGGCCUGUACUGACGCUCAUGCACGAAAGCGUGGGUAGCAAACAGGAUUAGAAACCCCGGUAGUCC